rnacentral:rRNA from 1 species
CCUACGGGAGGCAGCAGUGGGGAAUUUUGGACAAUGGGCGCAAGCCUGAUCCAGCAAUGCCGCGUGCAGGAUGAAGGCCUUCGGGUUGUAAACUGCUUUUGUACGGAACGAAACGGCCCUUUCUAAUACAAGGGGCUAAUGACGGUACCGUAAGAAUAAGCACCGGCUAACUACGUGCCAGCAGCCGCGGUAAUACGUAGGGUGCGAGCGUUAAUCGGAAUUACUGGGCGUAAAGCGUGCGCAGGCGGUUAUAUAAGACAGAUGUGAAAUCCCCGGGCUCAACCUGGGACCUGCAUUUGUGACUGUAUAGCUAGAGUACGGUAGAGGGGGAUGGAAUUCCGCGUGUAGCAGUGAAAUGCGUAGAUAUGCGGAGGAACACCGAUGGCGAAGGCAAUCCCCUGGACCUGUACUGACGCUCAUGCACGAAAGCGUGGGGAGCAAACAGGAUUAGAUACCCUGGUAGUCCACGCCCUAAACGAUGUCAACUGGUUGUUGGGUCUUCACUGACUCAGUAACGAAGCUAACGCGUGAAGUUGACCGCCUGGGGAGUACGGCCGCAAGGUUGAAACUCAAAUGAAUUGACGG